rnacentral:rRNA from 1 species
CCUACGGGAGGCAGCAGUGAGGAAUAUUGGUCAAUGGCCGGAAGGCUGAACCAGCCAUGCCGCGUGAAGGUCAGUGCCCUAUGGGCGUUAAACUUCUUUUGUGCGGGAGCAAUAAUGGUCACGUGUGGCCAGACGAGAGUACCGUACGAAUAAGCAUCGGCUAACUCCGUGCCAGCAGGCGCGGUAAUACGGGGGAUGCAAGCGUUAUCCGGAUUUAUUGGGUUUAAAGGGUGCGUAGGCUGUGAGGUAAGUCAGCGGUGAAAUGCCCCCGCGCAACGGGGUGAAGUGCCAUUGAUACUGCCUUGCUGGAAUGCGGAGGCCGUGGGAGGAAGGUGUGGUGUAGCGGUGAAAUGCAUAGAUAUCACACAGAACACCGAUUGCGAAGGCAUCUCACGAAUCCGCGAUUGACGCUGAUGCACGAAAGCGUGGGUAUCAAACAGGAUUAGAUACCCUGGUAGUC